rnacentral:rRNA from 1 species
AGACGUUGGAAAUUUAUUUUCAGUGUCGCAGGGAAACCGAUAAACACACCGCCUGGGGAGUACGACCGCAAGGUUAAAACUCAAAUGAAUUGACGGGGACCCGCACAAGUAGUGGAGCAUGUGGUUUAAUUCGAAGAUACGCGCAGAACCUUACCAACACUUGACAUGUUCGUCGCGACUCUAAGAGAUUAGAGUUUUCGGUUCGGCCGGACGAAACACAGGUGCUGCAUGGCUGUCGUCAGCUCGUGUCGUGAGAUGUUGGGUUAAGUCCCGCAACGAGCGCAACCCUCACUUUUAGUUGCCAUCAUUAAGUUGGGCACUCUGAAAGAACUGCCAGUGAUAAGCUGGAGGAAGGUGGGGAUGACGUCAAGUCCUCAUGGCCCUUACGUGUUGGGCUACACACGUGCUACAAUGGCAUCUACAACAGGAAGCAAAACGGCAACGUUAAGCAAAUCCCGAAAAGAUGCCUCAGUUCGGAUUGCACUCUGCAACUCGAGUGCAUGAAGCUGGAAUUACUAGUAAUCGUGGAUCAGCGUGCCACGGUGAAUGCGCUCCCGGGUCUUGUACACACCGCCCGUCACACCAUGGGAGUUGGUUCUACCUUAAGGCAAGGUUUUAAACCCUUGACCACGGUAUAGUCAGCGACUGGGGUG